UAAAGAGCGACACAGCUUAGCAACUGGGUGUGGUCCCUUUGCUCAUUUCUAAAGGACGACAUAGCUUAGCAACUGGGUCUGGUCCCUUUGCUAAUUUCUAAAGGGCGACAUAGCUUAGCAAAUGAGUUUGGUCCCUUUGCUAAUGUCUAAAUUUUCUAAUUUCUAAAUGGCGACAUAGCUUAGCAACUGUGUUUAGCCUCUUUUGCUAUUUCUAAAUGGCGACAGAGCUUAGCAACCGGGUGUGGUCCCUUUGCUAACUUUAAAAUGGCGACAUAGCGUAGCAACUGGGUGUGGUCCCUUUGCUAAUUUUAAAAAGGCGAUAUAGCUUAGCAAUUGGGUCUGGUCCCUUUGCUAAGUUCUAAAUGGCGACAUAGCUUAGCAACCGGGCGUGGUACCUUGGCUAAUUUCUAAAUGGGGACAUAGCUUAGCAACUGGGUCUGGUCCCUUUGCUAAUUUCUCAAUGGCGACAUAGCUUAGCAAUUGCAUCUGGUUCUUUUGGGCGAAUUUUAAAAUGGCGGCAUAGCUUAGCAACUGGGUGGGGUCCCUUUGCUAAUUUCCAAAGGGCGACAUAGCUUAUCAACUGGAUUUCAUCCCUUUGCUAAUAAUGUCUAAAUGGCGACAUCGCUUAGCAACAGGGUUUGGUCCCUCUGCUACAUUCUCAAUGGCGACAUAGCUUAGCACCAGGGUUUAGCCUCUGUCGGCUAAUUUUCUAAAUGGCGACAUAGCUUAGCAAUUGGGUAUGGCGCUUUGCUGUUUAAUAUGUCAUGGCGACUUAUCUUAGCUACUCGUUCUGGGUACAGCUAACUGCUACGGGUGCAGUUAGAGUCACUGGCGACAGUGGCUAAGGUCAAAAUAGCGCGGUAUGGUGUAAUAACCUGGCCUCGCCCUGUGUUUAUUUUGGAAGAGCAGCAGAACUAGCCACUAAAUGUGCAUGGCGGCGGUGCUAAUGUCAACUUAUGGAGGAACAUCUAUUGAGGCAUAGUUUGAACCCGGGUGGAUGUAGUUGGGAUUCGGUCUGGGAGCCUGGGAUUUUUGGUUACUUGGAGUGGUGAAAUUUCGGAGAAAUGUCACUGUGGUGGUCAGGUCCUGAAUGGACAGGUCCACGUGAUUCGGACCUGAAUCCAAGUAACUCAAAUCCGGAGAUCAUUAGCUGACCACGUCUGCACCUAACCAUCCACACGGGUAAGUAUGGUGACGACAGAUAUUAAAUGAGGUUACAUAGUAACCAAGGUUAAUAUCAUAGGAGCCGCGCGCAGUCUGGGUACGACAUGUGCCCUCAGGAUAUCGGAUAUAGAGAGUGCCAAGCAGACUCUCAGGUCAUUAGCUAAUUCGUAGCCAACUGCAAUGGUUAUCUGCUCAGAGAAGAAGCAAUUUUUUUUUUUCAUGACUACAAUUGAUUUUCAAUUUAAUUUCCAUCGAACUAAGUUCGGUGUGAUAAGGUGCAGACGUUCGGUGGUCAGGUCCUGAAUGGACAGGUCCACGUGAUUCGGACCUGAAUCCAAGUAACUCAAAUCCGGAGAUCAUUAGCUGACCACGUCUGCACCUAACCAUCCACACGGGUAAGUAUGGUGACGACAGAUAUUAA
rnacentral:lncRNA from 1 species